CUUUGGCAAAGUUAAAUUUACUCAAAGUAAAAAGUUAUGGCAGUGAAGACAUUUUAAGAGAGGAGUUAAGAGUGUGUACCCAAAAUGGCAAAGAAAAAAAUAGCAUGAGAAUUCUGCAAAUUUGCACAAUUAUCCUUAAAAAAGCAAUUAAAUUCGCUUUUAUUCCAGCUCUGGAAGAAUCUUCUCACUGCAGCUCUGAUCUUCUUCAUUACUGAUG